CUAGCUGUAAACGAUGGAUACUAGGCGUUGAGAGUAUCGACCCUCUCAGUGUCGUAGCUAACGCGUUAAGUAUCCCGCCUGGGGAGUACGCGCGCAAGCGUGAAACUCAAAGGAAUUGACGGGGGCCCGCACAAGCGGUGGAGUAUGUGGUUUAAUUCGAUGCAACGCGAAGAACCUUACCAGGGCUUGACAUGUCCGGAACCCUGCCCAAAGGCGGGGGUGCCUACGGGAGCCGAAACACAGGUGGUGC
rnacentral:rRNA from 1 species